rnacentral:lncRNA from 10 species
CUGGCACACCAGCAAAUUUUAGGAACUCAUCAUUUCCCCCUGCUGUAGCUCUUAUUUCCACAACUCCCUUAGAAUUUCUUUAAAGGUUUCUCAAUUUGGAAAAUGUUUGUCUAGGCAGACACCUGGCUUUCCUCCACAGCAGAUCCAUAUAUGCCAAGGAAAAGGAAUCACUGCUGUUCACAACUUUAUUCAAGCCUCUCCCUAAGCAAGACUGAAAUGGCUUUUGGAAAUAUUGAAAAUAGCUCAAAGACUUCCACG